UAUGAUUCAGAAUUUGAUUGUCAUUUUUUCUGUAGAAUAAAGUUGCAACAAUCCAUGUGGAGCCUCAAAGAGCAGUGCAAUUUUUGGUUCAACUUAAGAGGACAUGUACUUUAGGGUUAAGAAGAAGAAGGUUGCUCAAAAAUAAAGCAAGAGAAACAACUAAACUAGCAUGAUUCUAUGAUCACAUAUUCUCAUCGACAAGUCGAUUUUGUUGGCUGCGGCACAAAAAGAAGGCCUUACACGGUGUGCCCCAAAUGCAGUCAAUCUAUACCUGAAGUUGCACUGAAUGGUUUUGCUCGCGUAGCGGGCAGCAGGGGAAAGCAAACAUAAUAUUAAGAUCCACCAUCGAAAAGACCAGGUAAAGGCGGGCUGGUGGAGUAAAGCUCGAUUUGCUAGAGACGUGUAACCAAAUAUAAAUUAUAGCUACGUUAUUGUGGUAAAUUAGAGCUAUCUAACCAAAUAUUUUAGCUAUUACAUUAUUUGUCUCAUUGUAGUUUACUAAUUUAUUAUUACUUCAACGGUUAUUUAAUUCAAACGAUUACUUCAAUAAAUUAAACUUAUUCAUUUGUGUUUUA